GGGUUUUAGGGUCAGGACCCAGGGUUAGGGUUUUAGGGUCAUGGCCCAGGGUUAGGGUUUUAGGGUCAGGGCCCAGGGUUAGGGUGAUUUCCAGGAAGUGACCUCACAGUGACUCAAGCUACCACUUACUGUUGAUUGUGAUGAAAUGCCAGCUGAGGCACAUGCCUUGGGGGCUAAGUGGUUGCUGCCCUUGACUACUAUGAAGACUGGUGUGGGAAGGGUCACUUUGGAUGCACUUGAGCAGGGUUCCCCAACCCCUGAGCCAUGGAGCCGUAAGGAGCCACACAGCAGGUGAGUGGUGUCGAGUGAGGGAGUGAGGGAAGCUUCGUCUGUAUUUACAGCCACUCCCCUUUGCUCACAUUCCCACCUGAGCUCCACCUUCUCAGAUGAGCAGCAGCAUUAGAUUCUCAUAGGAGAACGCACCCUGUUGUGAACCGUGCAUGUGAGGGAUCUAGGUUGCGCUGUUCUUAUGAGAAUCUAAUACCUAUUGAUCUGUCACUUUCUCCCAUCACGCUCAGGUGGGACCAUCCAGUUUCAGGAAAACAAGCUUAACACGCCCACUGAUUCUACAUUAUGAUUCUUCAGGCCCAGCGUCUGCCUCACUGUGGACCCCCCAAGCCAAGCUCCCAACCUUUCAGCAGCUUCUACACACCCAGCUCCCGCCUGCCAGUGGCCUCUUCAGGCCCAUGGUGCUCAUUCCUCACAACAGCCUUUCCAGUCCCAGUUUUUCCCUUCCGGCGGCCUCUCCGGGCUGAGAACCUCCUCAAGUCGGCCUCUCCAGACCCACUUGCACCCUCCAGGCGUCCUCUCCGGGCGAAGCUCCUCUUCCUGGCUGUGUCUCCAGGCCCGACUCCUGCCUCUCAACAACGUCUUUGGACUCAGUGCCUACCCAUCUCCUGGCGUCCUUGGUCGGCCCACAGCUUCCUCAAGCCAAGCUCCCCAGGCCCAGGUCAGGCCUCACGGUGCCCCCUCCACGAUGAGCUCCUGCCCUCCAAUGGCACCUGCAGGCCCCAAAUGGUCUCCGGUCGGUGGGCUCCUCCACGCCAAGCUUGGGCCUCCCGGUGACCUCUGCAGGCCCAAGUUGUCCUGAAGUCAGCAUCUCCCAGCCGUGCCUCCCAGCAAGUAAGCAAGCUCUUUUGGCUCAACUCCUGCCCAGCUCCCAACCGCCUUUGUAGGUCCCGAACUUUCUCCAGCCAAGUUCUUUGGGCCUCAUUCCUGCCGCCCGGUGGCCUGUACGGGCCCAGCAAUGGUUGGAGAACGGCCUCUGCAGGUCCCGCUCUUGCCUCCCAGGGGCCUCUCCAGGCCCAGCUCUCGCCCCCACGGCGGCCACCCGGGGCCAAGUCCCUGCCUGCCUCCCAGCAGCCCGCAUGCGGCCCAGCUCCUCCCUCACGGUGGCCUGUUGAUGCCCAUGCCUCUGGUACCCUGCCCAGAGGCAUGAGCCCCUGCCACACACUGGCUCCUCCCACGCUGAGAGAGGUCAGCGUGAGCCCUUGCCUCACACCGGCCCCUCCCACGCUGAGAGAGGUCAGCGUGAGCCCCUUGCCUCACAUCGGCCCCUCCCACGCUGAGAGAGGUCGGCGUGAGCCCUUGACUCACACCGGCCCCUCCCACGGUGAGAGAGGUCAGCGUCACCCCCUUACCUCACACCGGCCCCUCCCACGCUGAGAGAGGUCGGCGUGAGCCCUUGCCUCACACCGGCCCCUCCCAUGGUGAGAGAGGUCAGCGUCAGCCUCUUGCCUCACACCGGCCCCUCCCACGCUGAGAGAGGUCGGCGUGAGCCCCUUGCCUCACACCCGCCCCUCCCACGCUGAGAGAGGUCGGCGUGAGCCCCUUGCCUCACACCGGCCCCUCCCACGCUGAGAGAGGUCGGCGUGAGCCCUUGCCUCACACCGGCCCCUCCCACGCUGAGAGAGGUCAUCGUCAGCCCCUUGCCUCACACCGGCCCCUCCCACGCUGAGAGAGGUCGGUGUGAGCCCUUGCCUCACACCGGCCCCUCCCACGGUGAGAGAGGUCGGCGUCAGCCCCUUGCCUCACACCGGCCCCUCCCACGCUGAGAGAGGUCGGUGUGAGCCCUUGCCUCACACCGGCCCCUCCCACGCUGAGAGAGGUCAGCGUGAGCCCCUUGCCUCACACCGGCCCCUCCCACGCUGAGAGAGGUCAGUGUGAGCCCUUGCCUCACACCGGCCCCUCCCACGGUGAGAGAGGUCGGCGUCAGCCCCUUGCCUCACACCGGCCCCUCCCACGCUGAGAGAGGUCGGCGUGAGCCCUUGCCUCACACCGGCCCCUCCCACGCUGAGAGAGGUCAGCGUGACCCCCUGCCUCAACAGGCCACCGUGAGGGAGGAGCAGGGUCGCACGCGGGCUGCUGUGAGGCAGGCAGCGACUUGGGCCUGGGAGGUCGUGGUGGGGUGAGAGCUGGGCUUGGAGACUCCCCUGGGAGGCAACAGCGGGGCCUACAGACUCUGUUCUCCAGCCGGAGCUGGGACUGUUCAGGUACUGGGAGGUGGGAUGUGGGUCUGAAGAGCUUGGUUGCAGAAACUUCGGGGUCUACAAACGCAGGCGGGAGCUGAGCCAAAAAAGGUUGUUUGCUGGGAGGCGGGAGAUGCAGCCAGGAGAAACAGCUCUGCCUGCAGAGGCCGCCAUGCGGGAGGCGGAGGCCGGGCCUCCUCAAAUCGGCCUCUCCAGACCCACUUGCAGCCUCCCGGCAUCCUCUCCGGGCCCAGCUCUUCCUCCCGGCUGCGUCUCCAGGCCUGACUCUGGCCUCCCAACAACGUCUUUGGACUCAGCUCCUGCCCAGCUCCCAGCAGGCCCAAGUCGUCGUCAAGUCGGCCUGGAAUUGGGCCCGGAAGAGCAGCAAGUCGGCCUCCCCGGGCCCAGCUCCGUCCUCUCGGCGGCCUCUCCAGGUGCAAAACUUCCUCGAGUCAGCCUCUCCAGGCCCCGCUCCUCCUGCCUCCCAGUGGCCUCUUUCAGCCCAGACCAGCUCAUGGCUCUUGGCGGCCUUCCCAGGCCCCGCUUUUGACUUUUGGUGGCCUCUUCAGGCCCAGAACUUGACCUCCAGUGGGCCUUUGCAGGCCCGGCCUCCUGCCUCUCGAAGGCCUGCACGGGCCCGGACUCACAGCGGACUCACAGCGGACUCUCCAUGCCCAGCUAGCUCUCGCCUCAUUGCGGCCUCCCGAGUCCAAAGCUCCUGCCUCUCGGCCGCUUCGGCAGGCCCAGCUCCCGCCUGCCAGUGGCCUCUUUAGGCCCAGCUCAUUCCUCACAACGGCCUUCCCAGGCCCCGUUUUUCCCUUCCGGCAGCCUCUUGGCCUCUAAUUUGUUUAUCUUUUGUGUAUAAAUCCCAAAAUAUUGAAUUUUGGAAUAUUUCCACCAUUAUGUAAA